CCUACGGGAUGCACCAGUGGGGAAUAUUGGACAAUGGGCGCAAGCCUGAUCCAGCAAUGCCGCGUGCAGGAUGAAGGCCUUCGGGUUGUAAACUGCUUUUGUACGGAACGAAAGGGCUCUGGCUAAUACCUGGAGCUGAUGACGGUACCGUAAGAAUAAGCACCGGCUAACUACGUGCCAGCAGCCGCGGUAAUACGUAGGGUGCGAGCGUUAAUCGGAAUUACUGGGCGUAAAGCGUGCGCGGGCGGUUUUGUAAGACAGGUGUGAAAUCCCCGGGCUUAACCUGGGAACUGCACUUGUGACUGCAAGGCUAGAGUACGGCAGAGGGGGAUGGAAUUCCGCGUGUAGCAGUGAAAUGCGUAGAUAUGCGGAGGAACACCGAUGGCGAAGGCAGUCCCCUGGGCCUGUACUGACGCUCAUGCACGAAAGCGUGGGGAGCAAACAGGAUUAGAUACCCGGGUAGUC
rnacentral:rRNA from 1 species